rnacentral:rRNA from 1 species
UACAGAGGUGCCGAGCGUUAGGCGGAAUCACUGGGCUUAAAGCGUGUGUAGGCGGCCUUCUAAGUACCUUGUGAAAUCCCACGGCUCACCCGUGGAACUGCUGGGUAUACUGGUCGUCUUGAGCCACCUAGGGGCGAGCGGAACAAAUGGUGGAGCGGUGAAAUGCGUAGAUAUCUGGAAGAACACCAAAGGCGAAGGCAGUGUCCUGGGUGGUCGCUGACGCUGAGAGGCGAAAGCCAGGGGAGCGAACGGG